AUACGGAGGAUCCGAGCGUUAUCCGGAUUUAUUGGGUUUAAAGGGAGCGUAGGUGGGAUAUUAAGUCAGCUGUGAAAGUUUGGGGCUCAACCUUAAAAUUGCAGUUGAUACUGGUUUCCUUGAGUACGGUAUAGGUGGUCGGCAUUCGUGGUGUAGCGGUGAAAUGCUUAGAUAUCACGAAGAACUCCGAUCGCGAAGGCAGCUCACCGGGCCGGAACUGACACUGAUGCUCGAAAGUGCGGGUAUCAAACAGGAUUAGAUACCCUGGUAGUCCGCACAGUAAACGAUGAAUACUCGCUGUUUGCGAUACACUGUAAGCGGCCAAGCGAAAGCGUUAAGUAUUCCACCUGGGGAGUACGCCGGCAACGGUGAAACUUAAAGGAAUUGACGGGG
rnacentral:rRNA from 1 species